CGGGAUGUAGCGCAGCUUGGUUAGCGCGCCUGGUUUGGGACCAGGAAGUCGCCAGUUCAAAUCUGGCCAUCCCGA
rnacentral:tRNA from 1 species